UGGGUAAAAAUCAAAUUUGGUUUGUUUACCACACAGUUCUAAAGCGGACAAUGGGAAAAAUGUCAAAAAAAUCAUGAACUUUCAAAUUUGGGACGAAAAAAACAUGAACUUCCAAAAUGCCAUUAAAAUCGUAAACUUUUGUUUGACUUUUGAUAAAUAGUCAAGUUUUGUUGACUUUGCCAUUUUGAACAUGUCGUUAAGUUUUCGUUAACAAAAAGAUAACGUGAUUAAUUUUCUGUUAA
rnacentral:sRNA from 1 species